CCGGUGUCAAAACCCACGUUGAUGUCCUCGUUAUCCAGCGGGAGGAACUCUCCCUCUGGAGUCACCCUUGGCUGAGAGCAGGACCUUCUUGUCUAAUGCACUGCCAGUCUUGAAGAGAAAUGAGAACAAAUAGAAUCAAAAUUAAAGGGAGCAUAAGAAUGGUCACUCUACAGUGCAGUUGAGUUGAACUAUAUGGAGAGGACUGGUGAGUUACCAAACAGCUUAUCCUGUACAAAGAAGCCUCCAGUGCAGGGCCUUCAUUUUGGGUCAGGAAACCAAGUGGUACAGGGUGAGUAAUCUUUGAUAAAUAAGCAAUUGGAGGGGAUUUUCUUGGGCAAAGGUUGAGACUGGGAUUGUAGC